UUUCUGUGUCAUUCAAGUCUUACCCUAUAGAUACAGCAGUCCAUUCAUGCUAACUGGGAGUUUAUGGGACUUAAGUGUCUUGCUGGCGAAUUAUUAUUGUUAAGUCAGGUCUGCCUAAAUGUCUGUUUUUACGGAUUUUUGACAAAACGGUGACCUAGAUUUUACAGACUAGUUUCUAUUGGCCAUAUGAUACCUCUUUGUGUUCCUAUACCACCUAUGCAUGAAUUUACGAUAAUAGUUUAUACCUACAAUGACUACCAGUUACGUAGUGGCCAUCAAAAGAUGCCCAUCCCCACCUGAUUUUGGCUACUUUUCACGUUUUUCCGAUUUGGAACUCUUAAACGGCUUUCAAAGUGCCAUAUUUUCAUAAACAGACGUCUGAGAAGAGUUUAUGGACCAUGAACUGCUUGGUUGAAGUCCCUG
rnacentral:lncRNA from 1 species